rnacentral:rRNA from 1 species
ACUGACGCUAAGGCGUGAAAGCGUGGGGAGCAAACGGGAUUAGAUACCCCGGUAGUCCACGCCCUAAACGAUGUUCACUAGUCGUCGGGAUGCUUGUCAUCUCGGUGAUGCACUUAACAGAUUAAGUGAACCGCCUGGGGAGUACGGUCGCAAGAUUAAAACUCAAAGGAAUAGACGGGGACCCGCACAAGUGGUGGAGCAUGUGGUUUAAUUCGAAGAUACGCGAAGAACCUUACCUAGCCUUGACAUUGAUUGAAUUCAGUAGAGAUACAGAAGUGCCCUUCGGGGAACAUGAAAACAGGUGCUGCACGGCUGUCGUCAGCUCGUGUCGUGAGAUGUUGGGUUAAGUCCCGCAACGAGCGCAACCCUCGUCCUUAGUUGCCAGCAGGUUAAGCUGGGCACUCUAAGGAGACUGCCUUCGCAAGGAGGAGGAAGGUGAGGACGACGUCAAGUCAUCAUGGCCCUUACGGCUAGGGCUACACACGUGCUACAAUGGGGCGUACAGAGUGUUGCGAUACCGCGAGGUGGAGCCAAUCACUUAAAGCGUCUCUCAGUUCGGAUUGGAGUCUGCAACUCGACUCCAUGAAGCUGGAAUCACUAGUAAUCGUAGAUCAGCAAUGCUACGGUGAAUACGU